rnacentral:rRNA from 1 species
GAUGAACGCUAGCGGCAGGCCUAAUACAUGCAAGUCGAACGGGAUCCAGAUCAAAGCUUGCUUUGGUCUGGUGAGAGUGGCGCACGGGUGCGUAACGCGUGAGCAACCUACCCUUGUCAGGGGGAUAGCCCGGCGAAAGUCGGAUUAAUACCGCAUGACAUCAUUGAGAGGCAUCUUUCGAUGAUCAAAGAUUUAUCGGACAAGGAUGGGCUCGCGUGACAUUAGCUAGUUGGUAAGGUAACGGCUUACCAAGGCUGCGAUGUCUAGGGGCUCUGAGAGGAGAAGCCCCCACACUGGUACUGAGACACCGACCAGACUCCUACGGGAGGCAGCAGUAAGGAAGGUUGGUCAACGGACGGAAGUCUGAACCAGCCAAGCCGCGUGCAGGAGGACGGCCGUAGGGGUUGUAAACUGCUUUUAUACGGGAACAAUCGUCGGUACGGGUACCAGUCUGAGUGUACCGUAAGAAUAAGGAUCGGCUAACUCCGUG